rnacentral:lncRNA from 1 species
UGUUAAGGAGGCCACUGGAAAAGCCAGACACCCAGGGAAGAGCUCAGGGCUGACAGCCUGAGAGCUGGUCAUUCUGGGAAACCAGAGGCCUUGGCAGUCCCCAUCUGGCAUCUAAAACCUGGAAGGCUCCAGGAGAGUUCUGGAUCUUCAGCCCACCUUGGAAGCCUAAAGAAGCUGGAGUCUGAUGCCACCAGGGGUUGGAGGCAGCAGCAGGAGAGAGAUGCACUUAAGAGGUGAAGGCUGCAGGCUGGCCACACUGCAUAUACCAUGGAGGUCAGCACUGGGAUGCACUGCCCACACGGGAAGAGUCUCCCUGCCUCAGAGACAGACAGGACUUUCAGACCCUGUGGGGAAGCUGACUUUAUUUGGAAGCUCUGUGGAGUUGUCUAAAUCAACGCUGGGAGGAAUUGAACACAGUUACUCUGUGCUCACAGACUGUGUCUUUAACAAUAUCUACAGGAUGCUUUUGAGGAGGCACGGUGGGAAAGGAGAACCCAGAAGAUGAGCAGUUGCUAGAUGACCGCAGUGACAUCAUCCAGCUAUGAAACAAUGGCUGCCCCUCCACAGCUAGCAGCAAUGCGAACUGUCACCAGGGUUAUGGAAAACAGUGCGGCAUGCUUUGGUGCAUUUAGCCAUCAAAGUGACCUACUGAGAGUAAAAUGUGCCUGUUUGUUUCAAAUCAGCAUGGCGUGCCCAUGACAUACUUCAGAAAUUGAAGUGUACACAUGAAAAUUUAGAUUUACGAGGAUGUUUACUGAGUAUUGUCAGUAAAGGUAAAGAGAAAGCAAAUAAAUGCUAGCUAGGAAAAAAGCA